rnacentral:misc_RNA from 1 species
GGAGUCCAGAUCCUUUCUCCCAUUCUUCUAUACCAUCCAGUUGUUACCAUUCCAUUGAGAAAUGGCUUCAUGCCUUUGGCCUUAUGCUGGUCAUACCACAGUCUGAACUCUUUCCAAGGUUUUGGAAAGAGAAUCUGACCCCAAGUGCCAACCAACUGGUACAAGAAAAUCCGUGUUCCAGGACCUAAUUGUAUUUUGUUUCCGUGUUUACCUUGGACGCUGAAGCGAGACGCCAUAGAUUGAAGGACUAGAGCUGUUACCAUUGUAGUAAUAAUUAAGAAUCACAGCCUUAACAAACUUAUAAAACAGUGGAGAAACCUCAAG